GACGAACGCUGGCGGCGUGCCUAAUACAUGCAAGUAGAACGCUGAAGAGAGGAGCUUGCUCUUCUUGGAUGAGUUGCGAACGGGUGAGUAACGCGUAGGUAACCUGCCUUGUAGCGGGGGAUAACUAUUGGAAACGAUAGCUAAUACCGCAUAACAAUGGAUGACACAUGUCAUUUAUUUGAAAGGGGCAAUUGCUCCACUACAAGAUGGACCUGCGUUGUAUUAGCUAGUAGGUGAGGUAAUGGCUCACCUAGGCGACGAUGCAUAGCCGACCUGAGAGGGUGAUCGGCCACACUGGGACUGGGACACGGCCCAGACUCCUACGGGAGGCAGCAGUAGGGAAUCUUCGGCAAGGGGGGCAACCCUGACCGAGCAACGCCGCGUGAGUGAAGAAGGUUUUCGGAUCGUAAAGCUCUGUUGUAAGUCAAGAACGGGUGUGAGAGUGGAAAGUUCACACUGUGACGGUAGCUUACCAGAAAGGGACGGCUAACUACGUG
rnacentral:rRNA from 1 species